rnacentral:lncRNA from 1 species
UAAACCCAGUGAGUAAGCAAAGUUCAUCUAUAACAUCUAAAACCGAGUAAAUGGAGACAAUUAAAACAUUUUAUCAUAAUAUGAUUCAUAACAUUGAAACUCAUUUCAAUCCAUGUAAAACAAUUACAUUUCAUCAAAGAAAAUUUACAAGGCUUAUGAUUUUCUUAAAAACUUGGCUCGUGCCAAAAACUCGUACUCGGUGACACCUUGCGCCGGGCAUCCAACCGAGUCCGCCAAGGCUGUUAAAACAACAUAUACGCAUAAAACUCAUUUUUACAUUUAAAAACAUAGCCGUUUCUUGGUGUUGGCCGAGUUUCACCCUCAUGUGGUGGUUCGGCGUGGAGUGAACUCUAACUUACCUUAGGAGAUACCCUCCGUGCCUCUCGUACUAAGGUAAAAUAUAACGAGGUUUACCCUGUCCCUCAAAAAGCCUGGUCCACGGAAACCCGCCCACUACAGUAAGCUAAUCCAAUAACCCACCAAAUCAAUAAAAUUUUGACAGCAUGACAUGGCUAAUAUAAUAUUACCCAGCCUGUCAAGGUAAAACAAAACAGUUCAUAUAUUCCACACAAACUCAAAUCCAGCCAUUAUGCCAUCACAUUGUCAUAAGCCAUCAAUUCAAACUGUAUAUCAAACACGAGUAUAUAGUCCCCACUUACUCAAUUUCCAAAAUCAGUAUUCAAUUUCAAAGCAAGUUAUAAAUCUCAUUUUGUUUAACCAACACUUGAAUUUUAAAACAUAAUAAUUUACAAUUUAAACUCAUUAUUCUUUAAAACAUAAAAACGAGUAAAAACAACUUUAGAUAGUUAAGAUGAAAGUCUGUUACUCACAAUAACAGAAGUACUCCUACUCCUGGUCCUCGGGUAUGAUAUCCUUACCUUACUAGAGGGCUCACCACCUAUACAUAAUGCACAAGUAAUUCAAUACACUUGUGUCAAACUGUUAUAAAACUAUUUCAGGCUCUUUAUGAGUGCAUGAAAUUGAAUGAGAAGUGUUCAAAAAAUCAUUUAAAGAUGGUGUUCUACGUAGGUUUAAUUGUUGUUGGAUCGAAAUGGUAUUCGACCUAACUCGCACUAUACACUGUUUAAUUAGCCAAAACAUCCAAUUCAACUCCAAAUAGAUUCAUUGCACUUUCGAUACUCCAAUAAGUCCGUAUACCUCAUUAGAAAUCAAUUCUAAGUCCAUUUACUACAAUUUUCUCAUUAUCGUUCAAGUCGUUUACUAAAGGAACUAUACUUUUCGAUAACCAUUUUCGAUAUCUAACAUUAUGAAUCAUCAAAUACGAGCUAGAUAACAUGAAAUAUGACAAAAUUCAUCUUCAAAAUAUUCCCUAUAGAAUUCGGCCAAUUAGGGUUUGAUGAAGAACAUGUUGUUUUCUUGCUUGUUUUUCAUACCAAAUAUCACAAAACAACUAAAAAUGCCUAGAUAACAUGAGAUCUAGCAAAACCCAUCCUCAAAACCUUCCCCCCUUGAUUCGGCCAGCAUGCUUCCCUCAUGAAAACUUGAGUUUCAACCAUAGAAAAUGAAAAAGAAAGCAUGGGUAAGGUAGAUCUUAAGCUAAAUCGUGAAAUCUUACCUCCGAUUUCUUCAUUUUUUAGAAAUCUAAUGAAUUUCUCUUGAAUUUUUCCUCCUUAGGGUUUCUCUAUUCUUUCCCCCUUUGUUCUUUGGCUUGGAC